rnacentral:rRNA from 1 species
CAAGUCGAGCGCGAAAGGGGGGUAACUCCCGAGUAGAGCGGCAAACGGGUGAGUAACGCGUGGGUGAUCUACCUUCGAGUGGGGAACAACACCGGGAAACUGGUGCUGAUACCGCAUGACAUCCCCGGGUCGCACCGGGGAUCAAAGCUGGGGACCGAAAGGCCUUGGCGCUUGAAGACGAGCCCGCGUCCGAUUAGCUAGUUGGCGGGGUAACGGCCCACCAAGGCGACGAUCGGUAGCCGGCCUGAGAGGGCGGACGGCCACACUGGGACUGCGACACGGCCCAGACUCCUACGGGAGGCAGCAGUGGGGAAUUUUUCGCAAUGGGCGCAAGCCUGACGAAGCAACGCCGCGUGGAGGAUGAAGGCCUUCGGGUCGUAAACUCCUGUCGACCGGGACGAAUGCGCCCGACCUAAUACGUCGGUGUGUUGACUGUACCGGUGGAGGAAGCCACGGCUAACUCUGUGCCAGCAGCCGCGGUAAUACAGAGGUGGCAAGCGUUGUUCGGAAUUACUGGGCGUAAAGGGCGCGUAGGCGGCCCGCCAAGUCCCGUGUGAAAGCCCCCGGCUCAACUGGGGAACGGCGCGGGAAACUAGCAGGCUUGAGUUCGGGAGAGGGAAGCGGAAUUCCGGGUGUAGCGGUGAAAUGCGCAGAUAUCCGGAGGAACACCGGUGGCGAAGGCGGCUUCCUGGACCGACACUGAGGCUGAGGCGCGAAAGCUAGGGGAGCAAACG